rnacentral:tRNA from 1 species
GUCCAGGGAUGGGAAUCGAACCCACAGUGUUCCGCUUACCUGGCAGAUGCCGUGUCCACUAGGCUACCCUGGA